CGAGCGGGCUGCAGUUUGAGGCGCCGAUGCAGAGCUAGGAGAACCCCUUAAGCAUGCAGACAACUACACGACAGAAGUGAAGAGCGUUUACCAGCGGCGGCGGCAGCAGCAGGUUGAGCAGCCGGAGCUCCUCACACCAUCUCCGUGAGGUAACUUCGCCAGCAGAGCCCUGACGGAUUCCUUCACUGAGGGAGGGGAGGCCCCUCCUGAGGGGAAAAAAGGCGCGAUAUCCCGAGCGGCCAAAGCGUCUCUCCUGUCGCCGGGCUCGUGCCUCCACCGGCGCCGGGGAGAGCCGAGGGAGGAAGGCUGCCUGCCUUGCCUGCCUGCCUGCCUUGCCUGCCUGCGAGCUUAGCCACCCAAGCAGCUCAGUGGCAGCUGCUCUCUGAAUCCAGCCUAGCGGCGGGCGGCACAACCACCAGGUUGCACGAGCUCCUGAAUGGGGGGCGCGAGCCAAUCCCCGGGCUCAGUGGCGCGCGCGCAGGGGUACCGUGCACAGGCGCGCCCGGCCGCCGGCUGCCUGCAAACAGCGAGAGCAGCAGCAGCAGCUUUAAAGCCAGAGCGGCGACGGCGGCGAACAGCGGCCGCUGGUGUUGUCACCCACCCUAGGCCCUGUGGUGAAAGCCAGAAAAGUCAAGGAUCGUGAUGGAAAUGAAUACUCUUCACUUUGCUCAGGAUAUACUUGGUACUUCACAGGGAAGAGUUGAACAUUACAGCCUUUUAUUUCUGUGAUCAAUAGAACUAGAGGGAGGCAGUGACUACCUACUCCAAUGAACAGUCCAAUUGCUGAACCAGAAGUAAGGAUGACUCCUGGGAAUACUGUCAUUUCUCCCAAAAUAUUUCAUAGGACACAGGUGGUGCUGUGGUCUAAACCACAGAGCCUAGGGCUUGCCAAUCAGAAGGUUGGCGGUUCGAAUCCCCGCUA